rnacentral:rRNA from 1 species
UACGUAGGGGGCUAGCGUUGUCCGGAUUUAUUGGGCGUAAAGAGCGUGUAGGCGGCCAAGUAGGUCCGGUGUGAAAACUCGAGGCUUAACCUCGAGAUGUCAUCGGAAACCAUUUGGCUAGAGUCCGGAAGAGGAAAGUGGAAUUCCUGGUGUAGCGGUGAAAUGCGCAGAUAUCAGGAAGAAUACCGGUGGCGAAGGCGGCAUCCUGGACCAUAACUGACGCUGAGGCGCGAAAGCUAGGGGAGCAAACGGG